AGAGUUUGAUCCUGGCUCAGGAUGAACGCUGGCGGUCUGCUUAACACAUGCAAGUCGAACGAAUCCCUUCGGGGAUGAGUGGCGGACGGGUGAGUAACGCGUGAGAAUCUGCCUUUUGGUCGGGGACAACCACUGGAAACGGUGGCUAAUACCGGAUAAGCCUGCGGGUAAAAGAUUAAUUGCCAAGAGAGGAGCUCGCGUCUGAUUAGCUAGUUGGUGAGGUAAAGGCUCACCAAGGCGGCGAUCAGUAGCUGGUCUGAGAGGAUGAUCAGCCACACUGGGACUGAGACACGGCCCAGACUCCUACGGGAGGCAGCAGUGGGGAAUUUUUCGCAAUGGGCGAAAGCCUGACGGAGCAAGACCGCGUGAGGGAGGAAGGCUCUUGGGUUGUAAACCUCUUUUGUCAGGGAAGAACACAAUGACGGUACCUGAAGAAUCAGCAUCGGCUAACUCCGUGCCAGCAGCCGCGGUAAUACGGAGGAUGCAAGCGUUAUCCGGAAUUAUUGGGCGUAAAGCGUCCGCAGGUGGCACUUCAAGUCUGCUGUCAAAGACCGGGGCUUAACCCUGGAAAGGCAGUGGAAACUGAAGCGCUAGAGUGUGGCAGGGGUAGAGGGAAUUCCCGGUGUAGCGGUGAAAUGCGUAGAGAUCGGGAAGAACAUCGGUGGCGAAAGCGCUCUACUGGGCCACAACUGACACUCAGGGACGAAAGCUAGGGGAGCGAAUGGGAUUAGAUACCCUAGUAGUCC
rnacentral:rRNA from 1 species